rnacentral:rRNA from 1 species
CCUACGGGUGGCAGCAGUGAGGAAUAUUGGUCAAUGGACGAGAGUCUGAACCAGCCAAGUAGCGUGAAGGAUGACUGCCCUAUGUGUUGUAAACUUCUUUUAUAAAGGAAUAAAACGAGGCACGUGUGCCUUUUUGCAUGUACUUUAUGAAUAAGGAUCGGCUAACUCCGUGCCAGCAGCCGUGGUAAUACGGAGGAUCCGAGCGUUAUCCGGAUUUAUUGGGUUUAAAGGGAGCGUAGAUGGGUUGUUAAGUCAGUUGUGAAAGGUUGCGGCUCAAACGUAAAAUUGCAAUUGAUACUGGCAGUCUUGAGUACAGUUGAGGUAAGCGGAAUUCGUGGUGUAGCGGUGAAAUGCUUAGAUAUCACGAAGAACCCCGAUUGCGAAGGCAGCUUACUAAACUGUGACUGACAUUGAUGCUCGAAAGUGUGGGUAUCAAACAGGAUUAGAUACCCUUGUAGUC